AUUGAACGCUGGCGGCAGGCUUAACACAUGCAAGUCGAGCGAGCGGCGGACGGGUGAGUAAUGUCUGGGAACCUGCCUGAUGGAGGGGGAUAACUACUGGAAAAGGUAGCUAAUACCGCAUACCAUCAGAUGUGCCCAGAUGGGAUUAGCUAGUAGGUGGGGUAAAGGCUCACCAAGGCGACGAUCCCUAGCUGGUCUGAGAGGAGGACCAGCCACACGUGGACUGAGACACGGUCCAGACUCCUACGGGAGGCAGCAGUGGGGAAUAUUGCGCAAUGGGCGCAAGCCUGAUGCAGCCAUGCCGCGUGUGUGAAGAAGGCCUUCGGGUUGUAAAGCACUUUCAGCGGGGAGGCGUUACUCGAAGAAGAAGCACCGGCUAACUACGUGCCAGCAGCCGCGGUAAUAC
rnacentral:rRNA from 1 species